AUUGAACGCUGGCGGCAUGCCUUACACAUGCAAGUCGAACGGUAACAGGUCUUCGGAUGCUGACGAGUGGUGAACGGGUGAGUAAUACAUCGGAACGUGCCUAGUAGUGGGGGAUAACUACUCGAAAGAGUGGCUAAUACCGCAUGAGAUCUACGGAUGAAAGCAGGGGAUCGCAAGACCUUGUGCUACUAGAGCGGCCGAUGGCAGAUUAGGUAGUUGGUGGGAUAAAAGCUUACAAAGCCGACGAUCUGUAGCUGGUCUGAGAGGAGGAUCAGCCACACUGGGACUGAGACACGGCCCAGACUCCUACGGGAGGCAGCAGUGAGGAAUUUUGGACAAUGGGCGAAAGCCUGAGCCAGCAAGGCCGCGUGCAGGAUGAAGGCCUUCGGGUUGUAAACUGCUUUUGUACGGGACGAAAAGCCCUGGGUUAAUACCCUGGGGUCAUGACGGUACCGUAAGAAUAAGCACCGGCUAACUACGUGCCAGCAGCCGCCGUAA
rnacentral:rRNA from 1 species